rnacentral:rRNA from 1 species
CCUACGGGUGGCAGCAGUGGGGAAUAUUGGGCAAUGGGCGCAAGCCUGACCCAGCAACGCCGCGUGAAGGAAGAAGGCUCUCGGGUUGUAAACUUCUUUUCUCAGGGACGAAACAAGUGACGGUACCUGCGGAAUAAGCCACGGCUAACUACGUGCCAGCAGCCGAGGUAAGACGGCGUGGGCAAGCGUUAUCUGGAUUUACUGGGUGUAAAGGGCGUGUAGGCGGGAAAGCAAGUCAGAUGUGAAAACCAUGGGCUCAACCUGUGGCCUGCAUUUGAAACUGUUUGUAUUGAGUACUGGGGAGGCAGACGGAAUGCCUAGUGUAGCGGUGAAAUGCGUAGAUAUUAGGAGGAACACCAGUGGCGAAGGCGGUCUGCUGGACAGCAACUGACGCUGAGGCGCGAAAGCGUGGGGAGCAAACAGGAUUAGAUACCCUAGUAGUC